rnacentral:tRNA from 1 species
GGCGGAGUGGAGCAGCUCGGUAGCUCGCUGGACUCAUUAUCCAGAGGUCGCGUGGUUCAAAUCCCGUCUCCGCCA